rnacentral:sRNA from 1 species
UGUCUAAUGUAUAGUCUACGUGAUGA